UAGUCCACGCCGUAAACGAUGUUCACUCGCUGUCUGCGAUACACAGUAGGCGGCUGAGCGAAAGUAUUAAGUGAACCACCUGGGGAGUACGCUCGCAAGGGUGAAACUCAAAGGAAUUGACGGGGGCCCGCACAAGCGGUGGAACAUGUGGUUUAAUUCGAUGAUACGCGAGGAACCUUACCUGGGCUUAAAUGCAUUUUGUAUGAGGUGGAAACACUUCUUCCCUUCGGGGCUAUUUGCAAGGUGCUGCAUGGUUGUCGUCAGCUCGUGCCGUGAGGUGUCGGGUUAAGUCCCAUAACGAGCGCAACCCCUACCGUUAGUUGCCAUCGGGUCAAGCCGGGGACUCUAGCGGGACUGCCACCGUAAGGUGAGAGGAAGGUGGGGAUGACGUCAAAUCAGCACGGCCCUUAUGUCCAGGGCUACACACGUGUUACAAUGGCCGGUACAAAGGGCAGCUACUGCGCGAGCAGGUGCUAAUCUCUAAAGCCGGUCCCAGUUCGGAUUGGAGUCUGCAACCCGACU
rnacentral:rRNA from 1 species